rnacentral:misc_RNA from 1 species
GAUUGUAAUAGAAAGGAUUUGAAUGGAAUGAAAAAGAAUUGAAUGGAAUAGAAUAGAAUGGAAUUAAAUUGAAUGAAAUGGAAUGGAAUAGAAAGGAAUGGAAUGAAAUGGAAUGGAAUGGAAUGGAAUUGAAUUAAAUGUAAUGGAUUUGAAUGGAAUGGAAUUAUAUAGAAUGGAUUUAAAAGUAAUGGUUUCGAAUUGAAUUUAUAGAUAUAGAAUGGAAUUUAAUGGAAUGUAAUUGUAUGGAAUGGAAUAGAAUGGAAUGGAAUUAAAUGGAAUGGAUUAGAAUGUAGUGGAUUGGAAUAAAAUGGAUUUAAUAGUAAUGGAUUGUAAUGUAAUUGAUUCGAUUUCGAAUGGAAUCGUAUGGAAUGUAAUCGAAUGGAAUGG